GCCUACGGGACGCAGCAGUGAGGAAUAUUGGUCAAUGGCCGAGAGGCUGAACCAGCCAAGUCGCGUGAGGGAAGACGGCCCUACGGGUUGUAAACCCCUUUUGUCGGGGAGCAAAGCGAGUCACGUGUGACUCAUUGAGAGUACCCGAAGAAAAAGCAUCGGCUAACUCCGUGCCAGCAGCCGCGGUAAUACGGAGGAUGCGAGCGUUAUCCGGAUUUAUUGGGUUUAAAGGGUGCGUAGGCGGGACGGUAAGUUAGCGGUAAAAAUGCGGAGCUCAACUCCGUCGAGCCGUUGAA
rnacentral:rRNA from 1 species